rnacentral:rRNA from 1 species
UACGGAGGAGGCAAGCGUUAUCCGGAAUUAUUGGGCGUAAAGCGUCCGUAGGUGGCUCUUCAAGUCUGCUGUCAAAGAGUGGGGCUUAACCCUGCAAAGGCAGUGGAAACUGAAAGGCUAGAGAGCCGUAGGGGUAGAGGGAAUUCCCGGUGUAGCGGUGAAAUGCGUAGAGAUAUGGAGGAACACCAGUGGCGAAGGCGACUUUCUGGUCUGUAACUGACACUGAGGCGCGAAAGCGUGGGGAGCAAACAGG